CCCAGGUGGAUGAUGUUGUACAAAGCUGUUAUCACCAUUCUCCAUAUUGCCACUAUCACUCCCACCAACGUGUUGAUGAGGAAGAGCAGGACGAUCCCGAAGCCCAGUAACAGGAAGGCGAUGUUUUCAUCAAUACCAGCGCGGACAAUAUGGAGAAUGGGGACCACCAUCACGACCAACAACAACGCCGUCUGAAACCAAGAGAAGUUACAACAUGACCCUACCACGCCCUCAUGACCUGCAGUAACCUCUGCUUUCCCUCCGUCCCCAUUCACCUGACGCCCCACACCCACCUGCUCACCUGUUUCCCAUUCCCCAAUCAGUCACAGUAUUUAAACCAGUCCAGUUACUCUGUUCUCAGUCCUGGUGCCUCAGCUGUCUGUUCCUGUCGGUUCUGUUGCUUUUGUGAUCUUAAUUACAGGUGAACUGUUUUCUGACCCAUCAACACCGCACUGAAUCAAAACCACUGACCAGGCCAUGUAAUAUUUAA